rnacentral:pre_miRNA from 1 species
AGUGGGAUAGCUGGAUCAAAUGGUGGUACCAUUUCAAUUUUCUGAGGAAUCUCUAUACUGCUUUCCAGAGUGGUUUCACCAAUUUGAAGUCCCACCAGCAAU